UAAACUGAAGAGUUUGAUCAUGGCUCAGAUUGAACGCUGGCGGCAGGCCUAACACAUGCAAGUCGAGCGAGAAAGCACUUCGGUGCGAGUAGAGCGGCGGACGGGUGAGUAACGCUUGGGAAUCUGCCCAGUAGUGGGGGAUAACGUGUGGAAACGCACGCUAAUACCGCGUACGUCCUACGGGAGAAAGCAGGGGAUCAUUAGACCUUGCGCUAUUGGAUGAGCCCAAGUCAGAUUAGCUAGUUGGUGAGGUAAAGGCUCACCAAGGCGACGAUCUGUAGCUGGUCUGAGAGGAUGAUCAGCCACACUGGGACUGAGACACGGCCCAGACUCCUACGGGAGGCAGCAGUGGGGAAUAUU
rnacentral:rRNA from 1 species